rfam:Felis catus isolate Cinnamon breed Abyssinian chromosome A2, whole genome shotgun sequence.
GCCUGGGUGGCUCAGUUGGUUAAGCAUCUGACUUCGGCUCAGGUCAUGAUCUCGUGGUUUGUGGGUUCAAUCCCCGCAUCAGGCU